rnacentral:rRNA from 1 species
AAUGUUGGAAUGACUCUCGGCAACGGAUAUCUCGGCUCUCGCAUCGAUGAAGAACGCAGCGAAAUGCGAUACGUGGUGUGAAUUGCAGAAUCCCGUGAACCAUCGAGUUUUUGAACGCAAGUUGCGCCCGAGGCCAUCUGGCCGAGGGCACGCUUGCCUGGGCGUCAGUU